AUUGAACGCUGGCGGCAUGCUUUACACAUGCAAGUCGAACGGUAACAGGGAGCUUGCUCCGCUGACGAGUGGCGAACGGGUGAGUAAUAUAUCGGAACGUGCCCAAGCGUGGGGGAUAACGUAGCGAAAGUUACGCUAAUACCGCAUACGAUCCAAGGAUGAAAGCAGGGGACCUUCGGGCCUUGUGCUCCUGGCGCGGCCGACAUCUGAUUAGCUAGUUGGUGGGGUAAAGGCUCACCAAGGCGACGAUCAGUAGCUGGUCUGAGAGGACGACGAGCCAAAGGGGAACGUAGGUACGGUCCAGACUCCUACGGAGGGCGGCAGAGCGGAAUUUUGGACAAUGGAGGCAACCAUGAUCCAGCAAUGCCGCGUGAGUGAAGAAGGCCUUCGGGUUGUAAAGCUCUUUUGUCAGGUAAGAAAAGGGUACGGCUAAUAUCCGAGCCUCAUGACGGUACCUGAAGAAUAAGCACCGGCUAACUACGUGCCAGCCGCCUCGGUAA
rnacentral:rRNA from 1 species